rnacentral:rRNA from 1 species
GACGAACGCUGGCGGCGUGCCUAACACAUGCAAGUCGAGCGGGGAACUGCGGAAUGAAGCUUCGGCAGAAUGAAACAGUUUCUAGCGGCGGACGGGUGAGUAACGCGUGAGCAACCUUUUCUCUCAGUGGGGAAUAACACACCGAAAGGUGUACUAAUACCGCAUGAGACCACAGUGCCGCAUGGUACAGGGGUCAAAGAUUUAUUGCGCAAGGAUGGGCUCGCGUUGGAUUAGCUAGUUGGAGGGGUAACGGCCCACCAAGGCGACGAUGCGUAGGGGUUCUGAGAGGAAGGUCCCCCACACUGGUACUGAGACACGGCCCAGACUCCUACGGGAGGCAGCAGUGAGGGAUAUUGGUCAAAUGGGGGAAACCCUGAACCAGCGACGCCGCGUGAGGGAAGACGGUUUUUCGGAUUGUAAACCUCUGUCUUUGGGGACGAAUAAAUGACGGUACCCAAGGAGGAAGCCACGGCUAAACUACGUG